GAGAAAAACAACCUGACGGUGACGAACUUUGACUGAAAAGAAUUCCAGUCUUCUAGUUGACCCCCAGUUACCGGGUCGCCAAGAACAGGAAGAAUGGCACAAGCCUGAGAAGCAAAUGGAAGCCUUGGAAAGCAGAAUGUUUUCUGAAGAAAAUGGCUUCUCUACAGUUUCUGGUCUCUGGGAAAAGGAUUAUAUGGUGUGUAAUGGGCACCUCUUAGUGUACGAAGGAUCUGAUGCAAACGGAUCACUGGGUUAGAAGGCAUAUUUGGGUGCCUAUGCGGGGUUCUUCUGUCACCAUAGUGAACAUUUCUCCAUUUCUUAUGAUAGGUUGAAUCAAGCUUUCAGCUUAGCUCUAAGGCACUAGUAGAUCUUUUGGAAUCUUCUUGCAGCAGUUGCCAAAAACACUGGCAUUGACGGGUUCAUACUCCUUUCGAAGAAGGACGCUGCAGAGCUGUCAAAGUAGAAUCUGGUAAAAGCAACUUGAUGGGUUCAAUGGGAUUAUGCAGUCAAAUGUGCACUGCCCAUAUGGACGGGAUGGAACAUUAGCAUUUCAAUGGCAACGUGGAUGCCAUAUUUGAUGUCUACAGUCUUGCUACUUUCUCUUUGCUUGCUAUUUGGAUUGUCUCGUAACUACCGGAGUCCUUGCAGAUGUUUGUAGGAAGAAUUUACCUGGAAUACAAUGUCAUGCUGACAAUAAGGGCCAGAGAACGAAAUUGGGCCCACAAGGAAUAC